ACAAGGGAGCACGUGUGUGUGUCAUACUUUCUAACCCUUCGUAACUGUUCUGUUCUUGGCUGCUUCCCUACCUUUUUUGCAAUGCCCUUCAUUAUAUUUCCACUUGGUCACCUUGUAGCUUAAAUUAAUUCAUCUUUUUCAAUUUCUUUGCUGAGUUACUUCAACUUUUCUCAGCUUCCUCUGUUUUUUCCCCCCCUUUGGUCCAUUUUUGUUUUGAGAUUUAAAUUUCUAAUUUCACGUUAAUUUUUAUUUCUGCAAAGGCCUAUUUAAUUCAUACUAGAUAUUGGUAGUUUUCUUCUGCCUGUGGUUGAGAAUUUUCAUCAGCUGUAAUUGAUUCUCAUUUUUUCUUCUAGUAGUUUUUAUGGAUGUUAUCUUCCUUUUUCUGCUCAUAUUAAAAGGUUUUAUUUUCCUUGUCUUGCAAAACCAGUUGGUUCUCUGCAGGCAGGGACAAGGGGUUUGUGUGGCCGAGUUCCUUGAUUCAGGAAUGUUCUGUUGAUAGAGUUAAAUGGUACCAGUUAAGUGCUGGCAGUACAUGUGCGAGCCACCAUACCUGGUCUGUCUUUUCCUUUCUACUGCCACUCUAGGACCCUGCUGCCCCACGUCUUUACCCUCUAGUUUCCACCUGACUCUCAGCCCUCACGAGGGUUCUGACGCUGGCUCUAGUGUCAGAUGUGCUUUUCUCUGCCUCCACGUAAAUUGAAGUUUUUUGGCCAAGCGUGGUGGCUCAAUCCUGUAAUCCUAGCAACUUUGGGAGACUGAGGGGGACAGGAUCGUUUAAGCCCAGGAGUUCAAGACCAGCCUGGGCAACAUAGGGAGACCUCGUCUCUACACAAAGUAAAAAAAAUUACCCAGGCAUGGUGACAGGUGCCUGUAGUCCCAGCUACUCGGGAGGCUGAGGUGGGAAGAUCGCCUGAGCCUGGGAAGUCGAGGCUGCAGUGAGUCCCGAUCAUGCCACUGCACUCCAGCCUGGGUGGCAGAGCAAGACCUUGUCUCAAAAAAAAAAAAAAAAAAAAAAGACAAAGUUGGAUUUUUUUUCUGUCUCAUAGAUAUGCUGCAGGCACAGAUUAUGGUGACUGCUGUCUUUUGUCUUUAUGGUUUUUGGAAGACUACGAUAGAGCUUUAGAUUUAGGAAGCAGCCAAUAUUCCUUGGAAAACCAGAAACUCAAGUACCUUCCUCUUAAAUGUAAACACACAAGCAAGAGGUACCAGACAUUUAAGGAAAACUUCUAGCAUGAAAGAAAAAAAAUUGAAACAGAAAAAAGUUAAAUACUGUAUCAAUUAAGAGAUUAUUACAUAUAUUUUCUUAAAUUCGAGAACAAAAAAGAGCUCCUGAAAUUUAGGAACCUGACAACAGACACCAUAUACUCACCAGAAGAAUGGGAAAACAGAUGUCCCCAGUCAAGACAGAUACACAGUAACUAGAGAAGAAAAUAGGUUCAAACCAGUAGAGGUCCUGCCUGGACAAAGGAGUGCCAGAAAGAGAGAACAGAGAAUGGAUGGAGAAAAUUUAAAUGUCCCAAAAUGGUGGGGUGAUUUUACAGUCUGCAUUCCUAGCACAGAGGUUGACAAGUGGCACACAUUAAAGCACACUAUAAAACUAUGGCGCCCUGGGGAUAAGAAUAUUCUAUGAGCUUCCACAAAGAAAAAGAUUACAUAUAAAGAAUCAGAAAUAAGAAUGGCUUCAGAUUUCUCAGUAUCUACACACUGGAACCUAGAACCAGUGAGGCAAUGCUUUCAAAAUUCUGGAACAUGAUUUCCAAAGUUACCAAUGAAAUGUGGUGGUAAAACAAAGAUAUUGGUCUCAGAAAAUUUACCAUCCAUACAUUUCUACAGGAAGUAUUAGAGGGCAUGCUCCAUUCAGUAAACCAAGAAAGAUGAAGACAUGGGAUCCAGGAAACAGGAGAGCUGACCGAAGAGUGGUGAAGGAAAUCUCUAGAACACAGGUGAAGGGAGACCCAAGAAAGACAGCUGUGCCCCAGGCGUUAAGAGCAACCAGUCCAGAUUGGUGCAAGUUAGAAGCCACAGGGAACAAACGAAAAAUCAAGACAUUAAGGGAAAAAGAUUUCUUACAAUCUCCAGCUACAACCUGCUUAGCUUGCUACUCAGUACGUGAAUUAGGAUGCAGGCAACACACCUCAGAAGGCAGGAAGAAAAAAGGCACAGCUGAUAAUCAAGUCGUUAGAGUCAACCAUCAUUACUAAAGCCAACUCUCCACCCAGCGCAUCUAAGCCUGUGCCUCUUCUUGCCACCCUAGCAUCUCCUAAGCCAGAUACAGCAAAUGAAUGCCGGAAGCUCACUAUCAGAAUGUUCCAAGACCUUUCCAUAAUAAAAAAUAAGUAUUUUUUUUUAA
rnacentral:lncRNA from 1 species